UACAGAGGGUGCAAGCGUUAAUCGGAAUGACUGGGCGUAAAGGGUGUGUAGGUGGUUAAUUAAGUUAGAUGUGAAAUCCCCGGGCUUAACCUGGGAACGGCAUUUGAUACUGGUUGACUAGAGUAUGGGAGAGGUAAGUGGAAUUUCCGGUGUAGCGGUGAAAUGCGUAGAUAUCGGAAGGAACACCAGUGGCGAAGGCGGCUUACUGGCCUGAUACUGACACUGAGACACGAAAGCGUGGGGAGCAAACAGG
rnacentral:rRNA from 1 species